rnacentral:rRNA from 1 species
UGGGGAAUAUUGGACAAUGGGGGCAACCCUGAUCCAGCCAUGCCGCGUGCGUGAAGCAGGCCUUAGGGUUGUAAAGCGCUUUCAGCGGGGACGAUGAUGACGGUACCCGCAGAAGAAGCCCCGGCUAACUCCGUGCCAGCAGCCGCGGUAAUACGGAGGGGGCAAGCGUUGUUCGGAAUUACUGCGCGUAAAGGGCGCGUAGGCGGCAUAUCAAGUCAGAGGUGAAAGCCCGGGGCUCAACCUGGGAAUUGCCUUAGAAACUGAUAAGCUAGAGACCGGAAGAGGAUAGCGAAAUUCCCAGUGUAGAGGUGAAAUUCGUAGAUAUUCGGAGGAACACCAGUGGCGAAGGCGGCUCACUGGCUCGAUACUGACGCUGAGGUGCGAAAGUGUGGGGAGCAAACAGGAUUAGAUACCCCCGUAGUCC